CUCAAAUUUGAAAUCUGGUCCCCUUUGGGGGCCCGAGUUGUAAUUUGAAGAGGAUGCUUUUGGCGAGGCGCCGUCCGAGUUCCCUGGAACGGGACGCCGCAGAGGGUGAGAGCCCCGUACGGUCGGACGCCGAGCCUCUGUAAAGCUCCUUCGACGAGUCGAGUAGUUUGGGAAUGCUGCUCAAAAUGGGAGGUAAACCCCUUCUAAAGCUAAAUACUGGCCAGAGGACCGAUAGCGCACAAGUAGAGUGAUCGAAAGAUGAAAAGCACUUUGAAAAGAGAGUUAAAAAGCACGUGAAAUUGUUAAAAGGGAAGCGCUUGCGACCAGACUUGCGCCCGUCGGAUCAACCGUCGCUUGCGGCGGCGCACUCCGGCGGGCUCAGGCCAGCAUCAGUUCGUCCGGGGGGAGAAAGGCGGCGGGAAUGUGGCUCUUCGGAGUGUUAUAGCCCGCCGUGUAAUACCCUCGGGUGGACUGAGGACCGCGCGUAUGCAAGGAUGCUGGCGUAAUGGUCGUCAGCGACCCGUCUUGAAACACGGACCAAGGAGUCGUCCUAAUAUGCGAGUGUACGGGUGUCAAACCCCUGCGCGUAAUGAAAGUGAACGGAGGUGAGAGCUUCGGCGCAUCAUCGACCGAUCCUGAUGUUCUCGGAUGGAUUUGAGUAAGAGCAUAUUGGGCCGGACCCGAAAGAAGGUGAACUAUGCCUGUGUAGGGUAAAGCCAGAGGAAACUCUGGUGGAGGCUCGCAGCGGUUCUGACGUGCAAAUCGAUCGUCAAACAUGGGCAUGGGGGCGAAAGACUAAUCGAACCUUCUAGUAGCCUGGUUUCCGCCGAAGUUUCCCUCAGGAUAGCAGUGCUUGAAUUUCUCAGUUUUAUGAGGUAAAGCGAAUGAUUAGGGACUCGGGGGCGCUUUUUAGCCUUCAUCCAUUCUCAAACUUUAAAUAUGUAAGAAGCCCUUGUUACUUC
rnacentral:rRNA from 1 species